UUUAGUUUUGUUGUUGCGCAGUGGGCUGGAGAUGGUGGGGGCUCUUCUGAAUGCGCUGUGUUUGCUUGUUGGUCUAAGUAUGGAUUUGGUAACAGAGUUCGAGUGGGGCCCAUGUGGCGCGGGGAGCCGGCGCUGCGUGACUGCGGUGGGUUCGGGAGAGGGGGUGGCUGGGAUGUGCUGGGGGACGGGCUGCUCUUGGAGGGCCCUUUCUCGCUUCUGUGGUGGGUCUUGCAUGAAUCUGGUGGAGUGGCCAUGUUUCCGCCCAAUAUUGGGGGUUCUGUCAGUCUCGGCUGCACGAAGAGG
rnacentral:lncRNA from 1 species